AACGAACGCUGGCGGCAGGCUUAACACAUGCAAGUCGAACGCCCUCUUCGGAGGGAGUGGCAGACGGGUGAGUAACGCGUGGGAACCUACCCUUUUCUACGGAAUAGCCUCGGGAAACUGGGAUUAAUACCGUAUACGCCCUUUGGGGGAAAGAUUUAUCGGUGAAGGAUGGGCCCGCGUUGGAUUAGCUAGUUGGUGGGGUAAUGGCCUACCAAGGCGACGAUCUAUAGCUGGUCUGAGAGGAUGAUCAGCCACACUGGGACUGAGACACGGCCCAGACUCCUACGGGAGGCAGCAGUGGGGAAUAUUGGACAAUGGGCGCAAGCCUGAUCCAGCCAUGCCGCGUGAGUGAUUAAGGCCCUAGGGUUGUAAAGCUCUUUCAGUGGUGAAGAUAAUGACGGUAACCACAGAAGAAGCCCCGGCUAACUUCGUGCCAGCAGCCGCGGUAAUACGAAGGGGGCUAGCGUUGUUCGGAUUUACUGGGCGUAAAGCGCACGUAGGCGGAUUGGUUAGUUAGGGGUGAAAUCCCGGAGCUCAACUCCGGAACUGCCUUUAAUACUGCCAGUCUUGAGUCCGAGAGAGGUGAGU
rnacentral:rRNA from 1 species